UACGAAGGGGGCUAGCGUUGCUCGGAAUCACUGGGCGUAAAGCGCACGUAGGCGGAUCUUUAAGUCAGGGGUGAAAUCCCAAGGCUCAACCUUGGAACUGCCUUUGAUACUGGGGAUCUCGAGUCCGGAAGAGGUGAGUGGAACUGCGAGUGUAGAGGUGAAAUUCGUAGAUAUUGGGAAGAACACCAGUGGCGAAGGCGGCUCACUGGUCCGGUACUGACGCUGAGGUGCGAAAGCGUGGGGAGCAAACAGG
rnacentral:rRNA from 1 species